GGAGGACCAGGGAGCAGUGGGAGAGUGCUAGAGGGGAAAUAUAUAAGCUCAAGGCUAAUGAAGGCGUGGUUCCCUGUAGACUAGGGAAAGUGGCUGCAGGUUAAUUGGAGCACCUGCAGUCAAUUAAGGCCCUGUUAGGAGCCUAAUAAACCCCCCUGCGUCAGGCAGACAAGGGAAGAGGAGGAAGGACUAGAGCCUGGAGGUGUGUUGAGUGAUUUGGAAGACCUGAGAAUUGGAAGCCAAUAUCCAAACAUUUGGAGGUUUCCCCUUCCAGCGUACACGUGUGACUCUUCAAGAAGAUUGAAUAUGUGAGGACUUGCCAGUGAUGGCUAUGCGGAAAAGAGAACAGACAGAGACUACUGAAGCAAGAUUCACCAUCAUGGCUGCUACCCCCACUAUCACCUGGGACCUUGGACUUUCAUCAUCCUGAUAUUGAGAGAUGUUCUGACCAUGCCAAGCCAGAUGACAUGGUCACACCUACCACCAGAGAUAAAAUGACAUCAGACUUUAACAACAACAGCUCCAGCCCAUCUCAAUUUCUUUCCCCCCCCAAAAGGACAAUUAUCAACUUUGAUACUGUCUAGGUGACUGUCAAGCAAGGUGGUGUUUUUUUUAAACUCUGUCUAGCUAAAAAGGC